UACAGAGGGUGCAAGCGUUGUUCGGAAUUAUUGGGCGUAAAGAGCUCGUAGGCGGUUUGUCGCGUCUGCCGUGAAAGUCCGGGGCUCAACUCCGGAUCUGCGGUGGGUACGGGCAGACUAGAGUGAUGUAGGGGAGACUGGAAUUCCUGGUGUAGCGGUGAAAUGCGCAGAUAUCAGGAGGAACACCGGUGGCGAAGGCGGGUCUCUGGGCCGAAACUGACGCUGAGGAGCGAAAGCGUGGGGAGCGAACAGG
rnacentral:rRNA from 1 species